UCCGCCCGCCUGGAACUGGUCCGCGCACGCGCACGACGCCGCAGGCGCCGGCCCGCGGCCGCUGAAUGGCGGAGACAGUCCCUGCACAGCUGUGCUUCCACCUGACCUUCAGUGCCUCGUGCCCGAGAGCGGAAAAGGGAAAUCGCGAGCGGAGCACCGGUGUGCUGGCCACGUGGGCCUCGCUGGGCAGACUCUGGACCCUGCUGCCGCCCGCCGCUCCAGUGCAAGGGACCUGGAAGUGACCUGGUGCCGCUCCGCUCCCACCAGAGAGGAAGCAGAGGCGCGGGAGGGAAGGGGCGUCCCGGGGGUCGCCAGCACGCUGGGGGCAGGCUGGCAGCCGCCCCCACGCCCCCGCGCUGGAAGCCUCGUCUUUGUAACAUCCAGUGUCCUGUAACUAGAUGAGUCCUGUCCUGCGGAGGUGGUUUCGCCUGUGAAGCCAGAGAUUCACCCAGGAGCGUGAGGGGAGCCGGGUCCUGAAUCCCCAAGCUGCCUACUACCCUCUACUCUACCGGAUGGAAUUCAUCAGUAACUAGGUAUCUUUAAGGGCGGCUCCCUGGCGCGCUCUGAGAGUUACGGAAGUCCCAAAAUGCUUUGACCGAAAACAUCUAACAGUGAAUACAUAAGGCAAAAAGCCGCGUGGGAAAUUCGUGUCUCUAGGAGCGCCCGGGGGAUUCCUCUGGAGAUGGACUGCCACUCACCCCAGGCCACGCUGGAAUGCCCCCACCAGGCAAGCACUGAACUUGAAUUGGGGACACUUUUUUUUUUCAUUUUUACCAUUUUGGACAACCCAGACAGUUGAUGUCUCUCCCUAGGGUGGGGAUUUCGACAGACUGGAGUGUGGCCGAUGAAGAGUUAAAGAGAGGAGAGAGUAGAUCUAGAUCUAGCCCUGGGUGGGUGGGGAUGGGGUUGGAGGAGCUCAGAGCACUGGCCCAGCCCUGCCCCCAACUUGCUGUGUUCUCUUGGACAAGUUACCUCCGUUCUCUGGGCCUCAGAUAACCCAAGAAUCCUUACAUAGAUGUCUUUCUAGCCGCAAAGCCCUAUGAGGUUUUGAAAAACUUCCUUGGUAUCCAAAGCCAGGUCUGAAGCACAGUCAGUGAAUACCUGUUUAAUGAAUGCAUGCAAUAAAUGAAUGAAUGGAUGAUCCAGCUCUUCCUGGAGCAGGCGCGACUUCCACAGAAACAAAAAGAGGGCAAACGCGAGCCGUAAGCAGAAGUGAAUCUUCUUCCUAUGUGAAGGGAUGUGGGGGUGGUCCGCCCCUAUCAACUUUACCUUUACAUAGUCCUGGAGCACCCGCCCGGACUAGAGGGGUGGGGGUAGCUCCACCCUUAACAAGCUUAAUUCUUGAUGAGAUUAACCAUCAGAACCCAUGAGAGAACAUUAGAGCUCCAGCGCUGAAUGGAACAUCUUUGAUUCUGUGGUGAUGCGGACUUUGUGCUUCUCUGUGAGGAAACACUUUCUUCCAACGAUGCAGUUUUCCUCACACUCCAGAAGUGUCCUCACUGCCAGAAUUGCCCAGCUUCCUGGCACACCUACUAACCAGUCAUUCCCAGCACUGCCCAGUAUGCAGCCUCCCGGCAGAGGGCCUGGAUGUCUUGGCAGGUAGGGUUCCCCUAGCAGCCUGGGGUGGCCAAAUAGAAACAUUAACUGGAACUGGAGCACAGGUGUGCUGGCCACGUGGGCCCUGCCGGGCUGACUCAGGACCCUGCUGCCGCCCACCACUCCAGUGCAAGGGACCUGGAAGUGAUCCCGGUGCCGCUCCAGUUCCAGAUCCAGGGAGCCAGGAGGGCUCCGACUGUUGCACACACAAGCCACUCACACUGCUGUCGCCCACAUACCUUCCUCUCUUGCUAGCCCACCCCAAAGCCCAAACUCCUGCCCACAUGCUGGGAAGGUGAGGCCUUGCCUGGACAGCCCAGCAGGGAAAAUAGAAGGAAGGAAGGAGUCUCGCUGCUUCCCCGGAGCUCUGCUCUGCGGCUGCAGGAGACCCACAGAGGCCCUGGGCAGCAGGACUGUGGACAGCAAGGCCUGAGUCGUGAAACCCAACCACUCAACUGGAUUCCAGAAGCUCAGGUGGUGGCGACUAAACCUGGCCUUAAUCAAAAUGCAUGACUUUAUUGUCUUUCAAUAUAUUUUCAGUAAACUUCAUCCUCUCCAUUACUAUUUCUUUUCUUUGGAAAAAAACAACAGAUCCUUGUAAAAAUACGUGAUGCCACGCACUUAGGAAUCACCCUCAUGUGGAGAUGAGAUUUAUUAUUUUUAUUUUUCUGAGAGUCUCACUCUGUCGCCCAGGCUGGAGUGCAGUGGCGUGAUCUCUGCUCACUGCAACCUCUGCCUACCGGGCUGAAGCGAUUCUCAUGCCUCAGCCUCCUGAGUAGCUGGGAUUACAGGCAUGUACCACCAUGCCCAGCUGAUUUUUGUAUUUUUAGUAGAGAUGGGGUUUCACCAUGUUGGCUAGGCUGAUCUCGAACUCCUAACCUCAAAUGAUCUGCCCACCUUGGCCUCCCAAAGUGCUGGGAUGACAGGCAUGAGCCCCUGCACCUGGCUGGAGAUGAGACUUCUGUGUGUGGUGCUAAAAGAGUGUUUCCGAAAAACCCGAUCCACCCUCCGAGGUGGAAAGUGUGCCGUCUCUGCCCAUAAUCCAAAUGGCGUGCCUGAGGCAUAGAAAGCAGCUUUCAGGGAGGCCCUCCUUCCUCUGAGUAAUGGUGGCAUCAUCAGAAAAGUGGAGCUCCUCCAAAAGAAUCUGCUGGAAGCAGAGGACGCCCAUGUGCUGCAGCGCCUCUGCUGGGCUUUGCCACUGCCCCGUGUUUGCUAGAGCCUCACCCUGGUGGGGCCCCACCUCUGGGAAGCCCCAGCGCCUGCAAGACUUUUUCCUCUUGUGACAGGGAGCAGCAUGCAGAGGGCCCUUGCACAACCUGGGUCUUCUGGAAGUUCCAUGCCCAGGUGUUGGCCCAGCUGUCCUCAUGGUUCCAAGAAGGCUGCCCAGGAAGGCUUGUGGACGGAGGGAGAAGCAUCUCUUCCUCUAAGUCUCUUUUUAUCUAAGAAACCAGUUUGACCAGCAUCCUUCCCCUCGGCUCUCUGGGAGGAAUGCAUGGAUCCCUUCGCCUUCCCCCAUCCCUCCAUGGUUGACUAACCCCACUAGGAUCCACUCUCGCGUGGAAAUGGGUUCAGGCCUCCCACGAACAGCAUGAAGAUGCCCUCUGUUAUGGGUUACCUUAUGUCCCCUGCCCCUGAGACAGUAUGUUGAGUCCUAACCCUAGUAUUGCAGAAUGUGAAUUUAUUAGGACAUAGGGUCUUUCUGGAGGCCAUUAAGUUAAAUGAGGGCAUUAGGGUGGGCUGCUGUCCUGAUAUAAAGGGGAGAUUUGGGGCUGGGUGUAGUGGCUUACACCUAUAAUCCCAGUGCUUUGGGAGACCAAGGCAGGAGGAUUGCUUGAGGGCAGGAGUUCAAGAUACUGGGGAGACCCGGUAUCUAUAAAAAUAAAAAAUAAAAAACAAAA